rnacentral:rRNA from 1 species
GGAAGGUGGGGAUGACGUCAAGUCCUCAUGGCCCUUACAUCCCGGGCUACACACGUGCUACAAUGGCAGGUACAGAGGGCUGCGAAGCCGCGAGGUGGAGCGAAUCCCAGAAAACCUGUCUCAGUCCGGAUUGAAGUCUGCAACUCGACUUCAUGAAGGCGGAAUCGCUAGUAACCGCGAAUCAGCAGGUCGCGGUGAAUACGUUCCCGGGCCUU